GACGAACGCUGGCGGCGUGCCUAAUACAUGCAAGUUGAGCGCUGAAGGUUGGUACUUGUACCAACUGGAUGAGCAGCGAACGGGUGAGUAACGCGUGGGGAAUCUGCCUUUGAGCGGGGGACAACAUUUGGAAACGAAUGCUAAUACCGCAUAAAAACUUUAAACACAAGUUUUAAGUUUGAAAGAUGCAAUUGCAUCACUCAAAGAUGAUCCCGCGUUGUAUUAGCUAGUUGGUGAGGUAAAGGCUCACCAAGGCGAUGAUACAUAGCCGACCUGAGAGGGGGGUCGGCCACAUUGGGACUGAGACACGGCCCAAACUCCUACGGGAGGCAGCAGUAGGGAAUCUUCGGCAAUGGACGAAAGUCUGACCGAGCAACGCCGCGUGAGGGAAGAAGGGUUUCGGAUCGUAAAACUCUGUUGGUAGAGAAGAACGUUGGUGAGAGUGGAAAGCUCAUCAAGUGACGGUAACUACCCAGAAAGGGACGGCUAACUACGUG
rnacentral:rRNA from 1 species